GAUGAACGCUAGCUACAGGCUUAACACAUGCAAGUCGAGGGGAAACGGCAUUGAGUGCUUGCACUCUUUGGACGUCGACCGGCGCACGGGUGAGUAACGCGUAUCCAACCUUCCCAUUACUGUGGGAUAACCUGCCGAAAGGCAGACUAAUACCGCAUAGUCUUCGAUGACGGCAUCAGAUUUGAAGUAAAGAUUUAUCGGUAAUGGAUGGGGAUGCGUCUGAUUAGCUUGUUGGCGGGGUAACGGCCCACCAAGGCUACGAUCAGUAGGGGUUCUGAGAGGAAGGUCCCCCACAUUGGAACUGGGACACGGUCCAAACUCCUACGGGAGGCAGCAGUGAGGAAUAUUGGUCAAUGGACGGAAGUCUGAACCAGCCAAGUAGCGUGCAGGAUGACGGCCCUAUGGGUUGUAAACUGCUUUUGUAUGGGGAUAAAGUUAGGGACGUGUCCCUAUUUGCAGGUACCAUACGAAUAAGGACCGGCUAAUUCCGUG
rnacentral:rRNA from 1 species